GCCGGGCGUGGUGGCCCACGCCUGUAAUCCCAGCACUCGGGAGGCUGAGGUGGGAGGAUCAUUUCGAGUUCAAGACCAGCCUGGGCUACAAAGUGAGCUCAAGGCCGGCCUGAACUGCAUAGUGAGACCCUGUCUCUUUUUGAGAUUAAAAAAAAAAAAAAAAAAGACAGGCUCUCACUAUGUAGUUCAGGCUGCUUCUGAACUCACUACGUAGCCCAAGCUGGCCUUGAACGUGCAGCAGUCCUCCUGUCUCA
ensembl:misc_RNA Metazoa_SRP Metazoan signal recognition particle RNA